AGAUUCCGGUAAUAGUUACAAGACUGUGACGUCACACUCGAGUAAGCCGUCUGACGCGUCUGACGUAUGCAAGACAGCGAAUGUGAAAGUACAUAGAAACUCUACAGACUGAUGAGAAUUACUUUAGACGGGGUACGUCAACGAAUAGGCACGACAGCGAAAAUACGGAAGUCACUUCGGGGACGUGUCGCAGAAUCACAUAACUCUACACGAGAUUAAAAGAAAGAAAGAAAAGACAAUGAAGACAACCAUGUAAAAACAAAUUCAAUCAAUUAAAUUAUCAGCAGAUUGAAAGCAGAUUUGUACUCCUUUUUGUGUUCAUCUGAACCCGAG